rnacentral:tRNA from 1 species
UGAUAUGGCUCAGUUGGUAGAGCACAUCCUUGGUAAGGAUGAGGUCACCGGUUCGAAUCCGGUUAUCA